rnacentral:rRNA from 1 species
GCGAACGCUGGCGGCGUGCUUAACACAUGCAAGUCGAACGAUGAAGCCCUUCGGGGUGGAUUAGUGGCGAACGGGUGAGUAACACGUGGGCAAUCUGCCCUUCACUCUGGGACAAGCCCUGGAAACGGGGUCUAAUACCGGAUAACACUCUGUCCCGCAUGGGACGGGGUUAAAAGCUCCGGCGGUGAAGGAUGAGCCCGCGGCCUAUCAGCUUGUUGGUGGGGUGAUGGCCUACCAAGGCGACGACGGGUAGCCGGCCUGAGAGGGCGACCGGCCACACUGGGACUGAGACACGGCCCAGACUCCUACGGGAGGCAGCAGUGGGGAAUAUUGCACAAUGGGCGAAAGCCUGAUGCAGCGACGCCGCGUGAGGGAUGACGGCCUUCGGGUUGUAAACCUCUUUCAGCAGGGAAGAAGCGAAAGUGACGGUACCUGCAGAAGAAGCGCCGGCUAACUACGUGCCAGCAGCCGCGGUAAUACGUAGGGCGCAAGCGUUGUCCGGAAUUAUUGGGCGUAAAGAGCUCGUAGGCGGCCUUGUCACGUCGGAUGUGAAAGCCCGGGGCUUAACCCCGGGUCUGCAUUCGAUACGGGCUAGCUAGAGUGUGGUAGGGGAGAUCGGAAUUCCUG